CCUACGGGAGGUAGCAGUAAGGAAUAUUGGUCAAUGGGGGCAACCCUGAACCAGCCAUGCCGCGUGCAGGAAGACGGCCCUACGGGUUGUAAACUGCUUUUAUACGGGAAUAAACCUCUCUUCGUGAAGAGAGCUGAAUGUACUGUAAGAAUAAGGAUCGGCUAACUCCGUGCCAGCAGCCGCGGUAAUACGGAGGAUCCAAGCGUUAUCCGGAUUUAUUGGGUUUAAAGGGUGCGUAGGCGGCCUAUUAAGUCAGGGGUGAAAGACGGUGGCUCAACCAUCGCAGUGCCCUUGAUACUGAUGGGCUUGAUUACACUUGAGGUAGGCGGAAUGUGACAAGUAGCGGUGAAAUGCAUAGAUAUGUCACAGAACACCAAUUGCGAAGGCAGCUUACUAAGGUGUUAAUGACGCUGAGGCACGAAAGCGUGGGGAUCAAACAGGAUUAGAUACCCUGGUAGUCCACGCCCUAAACGAUGAAUACUCGAUGUUAGCGAUAUACAGUUAGCGUCAAAGCGAAAGCGUCAAGUAUUCCACCUGGGGAGUACGCCCGCAAGGGUGAAACUCAAAGAGUAAGUGGCGNGNGAGAGACGACGACGACGACGACGGAGGAGGAGG
rnacentral:rRNA from 1 species